CAGUCACCUCAUCAGAGACCACAACGAACAAGCCCCAAUCAGCAGAUAAGCAAUGCCAGUGAUUUUCAAUGUUUGUUUAAUACUGAGAGGUGGAAUGAUGUUAGAAGACAUUCGAAAUUCGUUCAACCAGACCUGUUCUUAGCAGUUAAAGAAGCAUGUAUACGUGGGAGGGAACCAUCCACAACACGGAAUUAUUCUCUCGCCUUCAAGAAUUUUAGUAAGUGGUGCGAAAAAAUGAAACUUUCAAAUUUACCCGCUUCUCCUACAACCGUAGCGCUUUAUUUAGUGUCUACUAUUCAAGGCGAACAUUUGUGUAGUAAAUCUAAACUAAAUUCUAUUUUUUAUGCUAUUAAUUGGGCGCAUAAUUUGUCGUUUUCAUUAAAUCCUUGUACCGAUGUGUGGCUAAAAUUAUGUUUAAACGGUUGCAUAAGAAUUGCUUCAAAGCCUAUUAGCAAGAAGGAGCCUAUUACCACAGAUAUUUUAAAACAGUUUAUCACGCACUAUGCUGCUGAGAAUAGCUCCUUGUUAGACUUGAGAUUAACGUGUUUAUUUGUUUUGACAUUCGCAGGAUUUUUUCGUAUUAGUGAAUCUUUGAAUAUCAAAAGAUCAGACAUUCAAUUCUUUGACACUUUGUGGAAAAAUCAAAGACUGAUGUUUUAAGGGACGGAGACACUGUUGUUAUUGCUCGUACGGGACAUUUCUCCUGUCCCGUUUUAAUUCUUGAGAGGUACUUGUUGGAAGCUGAAAUAAAACCAGAAUCAAAAGAAUUCAUAUUUAGACAAGUGCACUUUUGUAAAACUAAACAUAAAUACAUUUUGCGUAAAAAAUCUACCAAUCCACUUUCUUACUCCUCUGUACGUGACUUGUUUAAAGACAGGAUUGCAAAGUUAGGUCUUGAUCCUUCUCGGUAUAGUUUACAUAUCUUUCGUUCUGGUGCUGCUAGUGUUUCAGCUAACAACAAUACCUCAGAGAGAUUGUGGCAGAGACAUGGGAGAUGGAAAUCUGUUUCAGCUAGGGAUGGAUAUGUAAAAGACACUCUUAAAGACCGUCUCUCAGUCUCUUUGAACAUAGACUUAUAAACAUGUACUUAUCUUGUGUGUGAUAAGUGAUUGCUAUGUAGAAUUAACAUUGUAUUUGUAUUAGAGAGAAUGUGUUUUGAAAAUAGAUCAAUGAUAUUUUCAAAUAAUUAAUAUUUCCAUUAUUUCUAUUAGAAUAUAAUGAACUAAAAGUUA
rnacentral:lncRNA from 1 species